CCGGGCGACCUACCCAUGAGCAGGAUGAAGCGAAAGUAAAAUUUCGUGGAGGUCCGAACCCACGAGCGUUGAAAAGCUCGGGGAUGACUUGUGGGUAGCGGUGAAAUUCCAAUCGAGCCCGGAGAUAGCUGGUUCUCCCCGAAAUAGCUUUAGGGCUAGCCUCAAGGUGAGAGAUACGGAGGUAGAGCACUGAAUGUCCUAGGGGGUAUUGCACCUACCGAAGACUAUUAAACUCCGAAUGCCGUCAUCUUAUACUUGGGAGUCAGACUGUGGGUGAUAAGAUUCAUAGUCGAAAGGGCAACAGCCCAGAUCGUCAGCUAAGGUCCCUAAAUGUAAGUUAAG
rnacentral:rRNA from 1 species